rnacentral:rRNA from 1 species
AGCGUUAAUCGGAAUUACUGGGCGUAAAGCGCGCGUAGGUGGUUCAGUCAGUCAGAUGUGAAAGCCCCGGGCUCAACCUGGGAAUUGCACCUGAUACUGCUGAGCUAGAGUACGGUAGAGGGUAGUGGAAUUUCCUGUGUAGCGGUGAAAUGCGUAGAUAUAGGAAGGAACACCAGUGGCGAAGGCGACUACCUGGACUGAUACUGACACUGAGGUGCGAAAGCGUGGGGAGCAAACAGGAUUAGAUACCCUGGUAGUCCACGCUGUAAACGAUGUCAACUAGCCGUUGGGACACUUGAUGUCUUAGUGGCGCAGCUAACGCGAUAAGUUGACCGCCUGGGGAGUACGGUCGCAAGAUUAAAACUCAAAUGAAUUGACGGGGGCCCGCACAAGCGGUGGAGCAUGUGGUUUAAUUCGACGCAACGCGAAGAACCUUACCUACUCUUGACAUCCAGAGAACUUGCUAGAGAUAGCUUGGUGCCUUCGGGAGCUCUGAGACAGGUGCUGCAUGGCUGUCGUGCAGCUCGUGUUGUGAAAUGUUGGGUUAAGUCCCGUAACGAGCGCAACCCUGUCCUUAUUUGCCAGCACGUAAUGGUGGGAACUCUAAGGAGACUGCCGGUGACAAACCGGAGGAAGGUGGGGACGACGUCAAGUCAUCAUGGCCCUUACGAGUAGGGCUACACACGUGCUACAAUGGCCGGUACAGAGGGCAGCAACCCUGCGAAGGUGAGCGAAUCUCAGAAAACCGGUCGUAGUCCGGAUCGCAGUCUGCAACUCGACUGCGUGAAGUCGGAAUCGCUAGUAAUCGCGAAUCAGCAUGUCGCGGUGAAUACGUUCCCGGGCCUUGUACACACCGCCCGUCACACCAUGGGAGUGGGUUGCACCAGAAGUAGCUAGUCUAACCGCAAGGGGGACGGUUACCACGGUGUGAUUCAUGACUGGGGUGAAGUCGUAACAAGGUAGCCCUAGGGGAACCUGGGGCUGGA